rnacentral:rRNA from 1 species
UACGUAGGGUGCAGGCGUUAAUCGGAAGUACUGGGCGUAAAGCGUGCGCAGGCGGUUUGCUAAGACAGGUGUGAAAUCCCCGGGCUUAACCUGGGAACUGCGCUUGUAACUGGCAAGCUAGAGUGUGGCAGAGGGGGGUGGAAUUCCAGGUGUAGCAGUGAAAUGCGUAGAGAUCUGGAGGAACACCGAUGGCGAAGGCAGCCCCCUGGGCUAACACUGACGCUCAUGCACGAAAGCUAGGGGAGCAAACAGG